rnacentral:rRNA from 1 species
GUGAGUAGUUCAGAGUUUGAUCCUGGCUCAGGACGAACGCUGGCGGCGUGCCUAACACAUGCAAGUCGAGCGGAGCGGUUCCUUCGGGGAUCGCUUAGUGGCGAACGGGUGAGUAACGCGUGAGCAACCUGCCUUUCAGAGGGGGACAACAGUUGGAAACGACUGCUAAUACCGCAUAAUACACUCGGGGGGCAUCCCCUGAAUGUCAAAGAUUUAUCGCUGAAAGAUGGGCUCGCGUCUGAUUAGAUAGUUGGUGAGGUAACGGCUCACCAAGUCGACGAUCAGUAGCCGGACUGAGAGGUUGAACGGCCACAUUGGGACUGAGAUACGGCCCAG